UGAGGAAUAUUGGUCAAUGGGCGAGAGCCUGAACCAGCCAAGUAGCGUGAAGGAUGAAGGUCCUACGGAUUGUAAACUUCUUUUAUACGGGAAUAAAGUUUCCUACGUGUAGGAUUUUGUAUGUACCGUAUGAAUAAGCAUCGGCUAACUCCGUGCCAGCAGCCGCGGUAAUACGGAGGAUGCGAGCGUUAUCCGGAUUUAUUGGGUUUAAAGGGAGCGCAGACGGGAGAUUAAGUCAGUUGUGAAAGUUUGCGGCUCAACCGUAAAAUUGCAGUUGAUACUGGUUUCCUUGAGUGCAGUUGAGGCAGGCGGAAUUCGUGGUGUAGCGGUGAAAUGCUUAGAUAUCACGAAGAACCCCGAUUGCGAAGGCAGCUUGCUAAACUGUAACUGACGUUCAUGCUCGAAAGUGUGGGUAUCAAACAGG
rnacentral:rRNA from 1 species